GACAGAGGUGCCAAGCGUUAGGCGGAAUCACUGGGCUUAAAGCGUGUGUAGGCGGAGGCGUAAGUACCUUGUGAAAUCCCACGGCUCAACCGUGGAACUGCUUGGUAUACUGCGUCUCUAGAGCCAACUAGGGGCUAUCGGAACAAGUGGUGGAGCGGUGAAAUGCGUUGAUAUCGAUAGGAACUCCGGUGGCGAAGGCGGCAUACUGGACCACAUCUGACGCUGAGGCGCGAAAGCCAGGGGAGCAAACGGG
rnacentral:rRNA from 1 species